AUACGUAGGGGGCGAGCGUUGUCCGGAAUGAUUGGGCGUAAAGGGCGCGUAGGCGGCCCGGUAAGUCUGGAGUGAAAGUCCUGUUUUUAAGAUGGGAAUUGCUUUGGAUACUGUCGGGCUUGAGUGCAGGAGAGGUAAGUGGAAUUCCCAGUGUAGCGGUGAAAUGCGUAGAGAUUGGGAGGAACACCAGUGGCGAAGGCGACUUACUGGACUGUAACUGACGCUGAGGCGCGAAAGUGUGGGGAGCAAACAGGAUUAGAUACCCUGGUAGUCCACACUGUAAACGAUGAAUGCUAGGUGUAGGGGGUAUCGACCCCUUCUGUGCCGCAGUCAUCACAAUAAGCAUUCCGCCUGGGGAGUACGGCCGCAAGGUUGAAACUCAAAGGAAUUGGCGGGG
rnacentral:rRNA from 1 species